rnacentral:rRNA from 1 species
UCGAGCGGCAAGUUGAGUAGUAAUACUUGACCUAGAGCGGCGCACGGGUGCGUAACGCGUAUGCAACCUACCUUUUACUGGGGGAUAGCCCGGAGAAGUCUGGAUUAAUACCCCAUGGUACCAGAGAGUCGAAUGGCUUUCUGGUUAAAGAUUUAUCGGUAAGAGAUGGGCAUGCGUCUGAUUAGCUAGUUGGCGGGGUAACGGCCCACCAAGGCGACGAUCAGUAGGGGUUCUGAGAGGAAGGUCCCCCACACUGGCACUGAGAUACGGGCCAGACUCCUACGGGAGGCAGCAGUAGGGAAUAUUGGGCAAUGGUCGCAAGACUGACCCAGCCAUGCCGCGUGCAGGAAGACGGCCCUCUGGGUUGUAAACUGCUUUUAUCUGGGAAGAAAAAGUCCAUGCGUGGAAAAUUGCCGGUACCAGAUGAAUAAGCACCGGCUAACUCCGUGCCAGCAGCCGCGGUAAUACGGAGGGUGCAAGCGUUGUCCGGAUUUAUUGGGUUUAAAGGGUGCGUAGGCGGCUGAAUAAGUCAGCGGUGAAAGACUUCGGCUUAACCGGAGCAGUGCCGUUGAUACUGUUUAGCUUGAGUGUUGGAGGGGUACAUGGAAUUGAUGGUGCAGCGGUGAAAUGCAUAGAUACCAUCAGGAACACCGAUAGCGAAGGCAUUGUACUGGCCAACAACUGACGCU